CAGGCAGCAGCACAUGGGCCUGGGGCGUUCUGGCAUGCGGGGUCCCUGGCGGCUCUCUGCCCGUGGCCCGGCCCCAGCAGCGUGCCCUCCAACCGGCCACACACCGCGCUGGCCCGCGGAGAUGCGGAGCUACAGGGAGGCGGCAAGUGGCAGCGUCCCGGCACCCGCCAUUCUCCGCAUCAUUAUACACUGGGAAGAUAAUAGUGUUUAUUCCCGGAACGUGGAACAGUGCUCACCUGGAAAGCACUCAAUAAAUAGUUGCUGAUGGGUUGGCUUCCAGCUGCAGAUGCCAUGGCUCCUCCACUGGAAGUGACAAACCCAGGCCAGGCUAACGAGCACUUCAGACAAUUUAUUGGCUCCCUGGUGGUGAAAUUUCAACGUGUCCGCCUCCUGCCUACAGCAGGUUCUUUUCCCGAGGUGAGCAAGAUGGCUUUUCCUGGCCACGUCUCAUCAGUUUGCUGACCCCAACAGAAGAACGAACGCUUUUCUGGUAGAUCCAGGGAGGCCCUAGCUAGCCAGACCUGUCCCGUCUGGGGUGGGAUGGUCUGCUGCAGGGCUGUCCGCAGCAUCUGGCUGGGCAGAGGGCUUGUGGAGGAGGCCGGCUGGCCCUCCCCACCCGCCUCUGCUCUGAGACAUCUGGGGAGGGAGCUGGUGCGUGCACAGGGCUGUCUGUAGGUUCUGUUUGCUUGGCUUGCUCUGUCCACCAAGGCAGCUCACGUCUUUGUGGGGGAAGUGAGAGAACACUUGUCAGGGGUAGCUGAUAAAUGUGGAAUGGUGAGUGUAGGAGGCUGUGGUGCUCUGAUGGAUGAUGGCAUCCUUAUAUCAGUGUCAAAAACAUAUUAGGCAGAUGCAAAACACCAACAUCUCUUAAUAACGGAAAUAAAUUAGGCUCAGUCAAAAUAGUUUCUGUAAUUUUUCAAAUGCAAAGCCAUAUCAUGCAAACCAAAGGUUCUUACAAUUCUCAGGAAAAAAAAAAAAAAGGACAACGAAUCUGUUAGGAAAACAAUUUGCAAAACACUCAUUAGUCCAAAAGCAUCCCUGAGCACUCUCUCUCCAGGCCUCUAAUGGGCCAUGAAACUUGAAUUCAAUAAAAAAUGAUUUAGCUGUCCUGUGAGUGAACUGGGUAGACUUCUGCCUCUUCCUGCUCUCAUUAUGGAGUUUAUUUUUUGGAGGCUGUGUAAAUAGUAUUUGUUUUACUGAAGUUCAAAGCAGCUUUUCGUGAAAGUGGUGCUUUGCUUCCUUGGUGGAGCUGGUGGGGGGUGACCUGCCGUCCCUGGCCCCUGGCUCUCCACUCCCCACCUGCUCCCGGGUCCUCCCGCAGUCCCUGUGCAGUCCCAGCCAGCGCAAACCCACGUGCUGUGACUUACUGGAUGUGCACGGUGAUUCAGCUAGUCUGGGGAGUUGUGAGAGCUCCUACAUUAGAUUCUUGCUUUCCAACCCAUUAAUUCUGUUGUUCUAGGCCUGUUGGGAGCCCUGUUGCCGUGUGUAAGAAUAACAGAUCACUGCUGAUGCUGUCGGCAUCUGUUGCCCAGGGCGGCUGUUCUGCAGACACUCCCUCUCUGCAGCGUCGCUGGCCUUUUGUGUGCGUGUGCACGGUGGUCACGGUUUUACAGCCGACUCGGUAGGAGUGGGUGGGUGUCUUCCUUGAGGACAGGGCAGGCCCUCCUCCAGCAUGGGCCACAGGGCUUCGGGCACCGCCCGUAGGAAUACCAAGCCUACACUUGGAGACGGAAGAACUUAGAAAAUGCUCCCUAAGUGUUUUUCAAAGACUGUGAGGAACCUGUCCGGGGCAGAGUGGUUUGCGAUUGUCUUCUGUUUGGUUUGCAUCUCUUGCCAUGACCCACAAGAAGCACAUCCAGGAACCCGGCCCCGGCAGUGGCUUGCUCCUGCUGGAGGGACUUGGGGUUCCUGGUGGCAGCCACAGCAGAGUGGCCGUGCCUGCAGUGGUUGGGCAGCAACAGGGAGGUGGUCACGUGGCAGAAGUGGUGGGAGCGUGUCUGCUUCCGUGGGACCCAGGGAGGGACCAGCACUUGGAGGCCCAGCAACCGUCCCGCCCGUUUAGGCUGACUUUUCUCCCCCUUCCUGCUCUGCUGUGUCUUUCCUGGCAAAUGCGCUUCCAGCUGAAUGGACAGUGUAGUCAGCGCUGGACAUAAGGUGACAUUUGGAGAUUUAUUGAACCCCUUGGAGCCUCCAUUUCCUCCUUUUACAAUGGGGAUAAGAAGACUUACCUCUUUGGUUUGUUGUAAAGAUUCAAUUAACGAAGAUGAGAUAUGAAAGCUCUUGGCAGAGGCUGGGCAUAUCUCGCAUGUGCUGGUGAGUCAGCUGUUGUCUCUGCUCCAAACCCCCUUGGCUCUGUGGUCCCAUGGCUGCGCCUCUGCAAACCGUGUUUCUGCACUACAAGUUGCUCCCUGUAAGGCUCUGCACUGGGGGCAUCCAGGGCCUUCCUCUUUCCCCUUUGCUUCCUGCUCCUGCAAGCACCCAGCAAGGCCCCUCCACCUGCCCGCCAGGGGCUCUGGCUUCUGCCUCUGCUCCACGCUCACAGAAAUAGCCUCGGCUGGCCCCUCACAGCUACCAGCAGCCUGGACAGCUCCCUCCACUCCGUGGGACAGGAUCUCAGCUUGGUGGGGACUUUUCUUCCAUACUUCUAGGUUCUGAUGACUUCAACCUCUUUCUUUUGUUUAUCCAGUUCUAGAGGUGAUAGCUGUGUCCUGCAGUUACUGGUUGGUGCUUUGUCUGUGUCUGCAUUCCCUUUGGGGCAGGAAAGAGUUAACAUGGCACGCCUGCCUCUUCUUAGAAAGGCCUGCUUACAAAGUUGGCUCUUGGCUAGUGUCUGCGAAUUUGGAUUUCAGGAGGGUCUCCAUCAUUCCCCAAAUGGAGUGGCUCAUUGUACCGGAGCUCUUUGUACAAACUAUGUGGUUUAUGCUGAGCACCUGCUUUCCUCCUGGAGUUCUGGUAUGUGCCAGAUAGAAGGUGACUAAGCACUCAGCAGAAGCCCUGGGCACUGCGUCUCUAACAAGCUUCCCUGGUGGACACCACCGCUUGUGUGUUGCCAUAGCUGGGUGCCGGGGAGAUAAGUGCAUCCUGUGCGGCUCCACUGGGAGAAGACUCUGGAAGCUCUUGCCCAUUUCCCCCGCCUUUGCCCCAGGCGCCUUUCCCUGUGCGGAUUGCAUUUGCAUCCUGUGAGUCCUCCUGUGAGUCCUUCUGGUGAAUCAUCAACUCUGGGGGGGCAGUCCUCAGGACCCCAACAGCUCUUUUUACAAUUUAGUUCUCCAGCACUCUUCUAAGUCAUGACUUACAUUCUACAUCCAUAGUGUGAUUCUGACACUGUUCUUCUGACCUGACCUGACUGGUACGGGAUGUGGUCUCUCAAGUAGGAGAUCUUGGAGUGGGCUUGGUGAUGUCCUUCACCUCAGUGCAGCACUGAGAUCUUGGCUCGUAGCAGUGGGAUGCGGGGAACUCCUGGCAUGCAGUGGCAAGACACUUACCUGAAUUGUCACCUGUGUUGGUUCUGUUGAGGCACCUGUGAAGCCUGGGGGUGACGGGGCUGCUGUGCUCGAUGGCUUUGGCAGUAGUGAUGACUGCAAAGACCGCAUGUGCCGUGGCUGCUGCUGAGUGUGCUGACGCACAUAUAGAUGGAAACCAGCAAGCUCAGGACUCUAAACCUCUGCUUACAUCAGGGUCACAAACUGGAGAGCAGGUAUGGAAGCCUUAAAAUAAUAUCUUAUUUCCUAUAUUUGCAAGAUCCAUCUUGCGUGAGGACUCAGACCAAGCUGAGAAUUCUGAACCUCGGGAUCCCUGAGCCUUCCGUGCUGGCCUGAGAGGAUUAGCGUCCCUUUGCAUGGGGACCUGCAAGGAUCUCUCCUGGUGCAGGUAGCACCCGAGCGGAAGCCUCGUUCCCCUCAAGUCUCAUAUCAGCGUCCACUUAUUGCUCAGAUGUGGUCUGCACUGUGCUAGGCAGAAUAAUGCCCCUCAGAGAUGUUUACAUCAUCUCCAUACUCUGUGAGUGUGUCACUUUGCAUGCCAAGAGGAACGUGGAAAGUAUGAUUACGUUAAGGAGUUUGAGAUGGGGAGACAGUCUCGGACCUCUUGGGUUGGCCCAGUGUAGUUACAAGUGUCCUUAAAAGUGGAAGAAAAAGGCAGAAGAGAGUCAGAGAGAGGUGCACCACGGAAGCUGGUGAGGGAGGUGCAGCCCUGCUGCUCUGAGGACGUGGGACGGGGCCUAAGCCCAGGCACGCAGUCCUAGUGGCUGGACUGGCAGGGAAAUAUUAUGGAUGCUCCCCUAGGGGCUCCAGAAAGGAACACAGCCCUGCUGAUACCUUGAUUUUAGCUCAGGGAGACCUGUGCUGGAUUUCUGACCUACUGAACUGUAAGGUAAUAGUUUUACCUUUGUAUUAGUUUAAGCUACCAGGUUUGUGCUAAUUUGUUAUGGCAGCGAUAGAGACUAACACACAUACGUAAUCAGGGUCAGAUCUCAGUGUAAAGGGAGCAGCCAUGAAGUCUGAGCAAGUAGAAGGUAGCCUAGAUUCCAAAGUCACUGCAAAAUUUGGCUAAUUUAUAUCCAGUAGAAACCUGGGAAUAUGUGGAAAUGACUUCUAAAGAUUUUAGACAAAGGGGAAAAACAUUUAAUGAUAGAUUAGGGGGAAUUUAUUGAUAUGGGUGUACUUAUCGGAGAUUUUAGAUUUAAUGUAUUAUUAAUAGCUUGUGCACCUGGAAGUGGGUCUAAUAGCUUGCACAACUGGUUGAAUAAAACUAAAAACUAUAUAUAGUGUUUCCUAUUUAAAUGAGGUUGAGAUGCCAGAACCAUUCCGGCAGGAUGCAGAUUAGUAAUCCAAAGGUUUAGGGAGGUUGGGAUUUUGGAAUGGGUUUAACAUGAGCUUGUGCAAUCCCGCCCCUCCCUUACAGCUCCUGAGGGGGCCCAGUGGACGAUCCUUUCACUGGGAAAUGCAUCAGUAGCCUCAGGGAGCUCCGUGGUGGCUGCCUCUGGAGCCUGGGUUGAUGGUGAAGGUGCCACCACCUGGACAGAAACCCUGACUUCAGUGGGGAAGAUGGGAUGCAGGAGUGACACAGCCAUGUGGCACGGCUAUGCAGAGCCCAGACCUGAGUUGGUUUACAGCCCCUCAGCCGCUUGAUCGAAGUGGAGGUUUAGUCUUACUGAGGAAGGACCUCUCAGCAUUGCCACAAGUACAUGCUGUGAAUCUUUCUCCAAGUUGCCACCAAAGGGUCCUGUGUCUGUCCACGAGGGUGACUACACAGGAGCCUGUAGAGGUUGUGCCUUGCAAAUGCUCUGACGGCAGAAACUCUCGGCCUCACUCACCAUGAGAGUAAACAUGACCCCGGCUCACGUCCUCGUACCCAGGAGGAGCGAAGGACCUCUGCUAGGCAUGAAGAUGAUGAACAGGACACGAUCCCUUUCCCAAAGGCGGCUAUAGAUGGAAAAUACACGUAACAAUGCGGUAGGGAAGGUGCUGGAGUAGUGCUCUGCUACACGUUUUGAGUGCACACCUAGAGGAGCGCUUGACUCUGGCAGGAGUGUGUGGGGGGAGGGACACAGCAAGGCAGCAGGACCGUGGUGAUGUCAGCCUGGGCCUGGAAGGGGGGCUGCGUUUCCUGCACGCUUGGGACUGGGAAGGGGGAGGGGGCACCAGGAAGCUGGGCAAGCCUGCAGCCUGCAGCCGGACACCUCCCGCCACUCUCCUGAGGACCCCAUCCAGCCCAAGCUUGGUGAAUUUGGGGAACUUGAAAUGAAGCUUUGAUUGGAAUUCAAAGGAAAAGAUGGGAUUUAGACACAGCAAAUGCCUUUUCUAUUAGAUCACACUGGGUGCUAUCCCAGGGGGCUGAAAAACUUUUUCUUAAAGGGCCAAUUAGUAAAUAUUUCAGGUUUUCCAGGCCCUGUGGUCUCCGUUGGGACUAGAGCAGUCAUACACCACAGGUGGAUGAAUAGACAUGGUUGUGUCCCAAUAAAACUUUAUUUACAAUAAAAGGUGGAGGCUGGGUUCAACACACACGCUGGAGUUGACCCUUAGACUAUGCCAACAGGCAGAGCUGAGAUAUAGUUGUAAAAAUCUGAUAGCUGUAUCACUGGUGGUGCUGUGUAUGCCACCUUUGCUUAAAACUGCACGUGGCAUGGGUCUUUCCAUGGUGUGGGUGGCUUUCAGUGGAUAAUUGGUGGUCCCUGCAUAAGACUUUGACAAGGGGAAGCUGUCUUGGGGGUACGGCUGCUCCCACCAGCCCCUGAUUAUGCAAUUAGUGAAACUUCCUGAUUUUACCUGGAAUGCUUCCCUUCCCCUCCCCGGCCGCUUUCCUGACACAUGCAGCUGCACACAGCUUCUGCCGAAGUCUGAUCUCCUGGCACAGGUCCAUCUCUCCUGGGUCCAGCCCGGCCGCUUUCCUGACACCUGCAGCUGCACACGGCUUCUGCCGAAGUCUGAUCUCCUGGCACAGGUCCAUCUCUCCUGGGUCCCAGAGCAUCUCCCUUUGACUGAUUCCCUGUUGCAUGCUGAACACUGCAAUGGGGAUUCUCUGGGGAUACUCAACCCUGAAUGCACAUUGGAACCGCCUUUCAUAAACAACCGGUGCUUGGACAGACCCCCAAAUGCGGCUGAGGACCUUGCAGCAAGCGUGGGCAGCUGGGGAAGGCUCAGCACGGGCCUCGCUCAUGCGGUUCAGAGAUACACAUUCCGGCAGUCUAACUUGUCACAAAGGCCACACUGAGAAUGCUUUCAGGUGGGAAAGGAUUAUAUGACCCUUAGACUUUGUCCUCAAACACAAUUUAUACACUUGGAUGCACUUUGGAUGGAGCCUGCACGCCAGAGAAUUCUGAGUGGCGCUUGUAACAGGGCCCUCGGUGGGGGUGUCUUGCGAAGCUGGGGGAGCGGUCAAGGGCACGGCUGAUCACCAUGCUUCUUUUAGUGGCCUCUGUCAGCUGUGUCCUCGGUCAGUGCCCUCACAAGUGGUGACCACCACUAGAAGCAGCAUCUUCAGAGAAGGGCAAUGACCAAUGACACUUGAGAGGGCAGGAACUAGUGACCCAUUUAAUUCAUCACAUUUGCCGAGUAUUUUAAACUUUUCAAAUCCUUUCCACGUUGUCUAUCUUAUUUCAUUCUGACACAUUCUCUUUAGUUUCCUGCAGGAGGCUCCUCAGGGCAAGACCCUUGGUCACUUUUCCAGGCACUUCUCCUGCCUCCUCCUCCGGCAUCUGUGCUCCGGCCACUCAGGGCUGUAGGCAAGCUCCUGUGUGUGCUGGGACCUCCGUGCCAUUGCUCAUGCUGACUCCUCUCUCUCGAGCUCCCCUCCGCCUGCCUGGUAAAUCCCCGCCACUGUCAGGAUGGGGCGGGCGCUUCCUCCUCCAUCAGCCUUUUCCCGCUGUCCCUGGGAGGCGUCUGCUCCUUUGCUUCCUCCCCGACUGACUGCUCACAGCACAGUCACCCAGGCCGUCCUUGCCACUGGGCCGGGAGCCCUUCGAGGGCAAGCAACUUGUUUGGUUCAUUGUUUGUUUCCCAAGUGCUGAGCACAGUGUUUGGAAAAUGCUAUUUGUUUAGUUAAUAUUUUGUUAAAUUACUGAAACUUCAUGAAAGAGUUUUUGGAAGAGCAGGAUAAGAGCAAGCGAUUCGUUAAGUCAUAAGUUAGUGGCUGCUUCUCCCAGUGUGAUCUUCGAGAUGGCUUUGCUCCAUCCACACACUGCCAACCCUGCCCUGAAUGAGGGGUCCUGGUGAACCGGGCCAUGCGGCCUCCUGGGAGGCGGAGGGGUGCUUGGAGAGACGGCUGUGAUUGGGAAGGAAACUCACUUUCCACCAGGAGCACUUGUCACACUUGGAAUUUUGUGCCAUGUUCCAUGCAUUACCUAUUCUAAAGUAAAAUAAAACAGGAUAAAAAUCACUACAUGAAGAUGAAGUUCAGUGUGACUGUUAACAGCAUUCUGGCUUUGGAUCAGACCUAUAUUCAAAUCCUGCCCCUUUUUAGCUCUGUGAAUUUGGGCAAAUUUCUUAGCCUAUCUAAUCCUUCGUUUCUCUAUUUUAACAUAAAUGUAAUAACAGCAUCUGUUAGUGAGAUCAGGAAGAACAAAGCAGCCCCUGAGAGGCAGGAGCUGGCCUGGCACUCACAGCUGGGCCUUGGUGUCCUUCUGACGAACGUAAAUAAUGUCAGAAAACACCAACAUCAGACAAGGCCACUCUGUGACGCUGGUGCAGCAAGAAAAAGACAGUAUCACUGGAUAAUCCUGUGUAAAUACAGACUAAAGAAGGACAAGGGCCAAACCACAAAAAUGGCGAGUCAUCUCCCAUGCUGGCUAAGUGACCAUUGCCUAUUUACUAAUUGUAGCUUCAGUUUCCAUCUGUUCUUUCCACCGUCUAGAUAAGAAUUAUCAGGUUAACCAAUUACAGAAUUACCCCUCCUUCCUGCAAGCAUCCAAUCUAGAGCCAAGUCCCCCCUUCUUGGACCCUUCUCCAAAUGUGCUAUCACAAGCCCAAAUCCUAUUCUGCAUCCUCUCUCCCCUCCUCCUGCAGGUGCCCACAGGCCCCACGGUGCAUGGUCUCCUGUGCUGCAGUGAUCAGUGAGUCCCGUCUUGUUCAGCUGCAGGUGUGUCCCAGGUAGUUUUGGCUGCAAGGCAUUGACAGGUUGUUGUAAAGAUUAAAUAAGAUAAUGUGUGUAAAACACUUAGAACAUUGUUGGGCACGUAGUGAUCGCUCCAUGCGUGCCAAAUCAUCAUCAUCAUCAUUAUAAUUACAAACUCUUUCUUUCGUCUGCCUCUCCUUUUAGCAUUAGCUGGAAUAGGUAACAGUGAAGACAAGAUUUGGUCCUUGACUUUUUGAGUCUUAUCCUUGAGAUAUUUCAAGUGCAUCAUGGAAAGGAAUACUUCUGCACAAAUAGAAAAGGAAGGUGUAUUAAUUAGUCAGGGUUCUCUAGAGAAACAGAACCAACAGUAUAUACAGAUAAAUAGAUUUAGACAUAGAUAUGUACGAGGAGAUUUUAUGGGAAUUAUCUCAUGUUAUUAUGGAGGCCAGCAAGUCCCAUGACAUGCCAUCUGCAGGCUGGAGAACCAUGGAAGCCAGUGGUGUGGUUCAGUCCAAGUCCGAAAGCCUCAGGACCUGAAAAGCCGAUAGUGUAACUCUCAGUCUGAGGCCAAAGGCCUGGAAAAUGGGAGUGGGUGGGGAAUGCUGGUGUAAGUCCUGAGGUCCUGAAGGCCCCAAACUAGGAACUUUGAUCUCCAAGGGUAGGAGAAGAGGGAUAUCCUGCUCAAAAAGGGAGAGGAUUUGCCCUUCCUCUGCCUUUUUGUUCUAUCUGGGCCCCCAGUGGGUUGGGUGGUGUCUGUUCACAUUGGUGAGGGUAGAUCUUCUUUAUUCAGUCUACAAAUACAAUGCUGAUUCCAUAAACACCCUCCCAGACAUACCCAGAAAUAGUGUUUUACCAGCUACCUGGGCACCCUUUAGCCCAGUCAAGUUGACACAUAAGAUUAACCAUCCCAGAAUCCUAGGGAAUCCAAGCUGAACCGUCAUUGUUAAUUUUAGAUUUUGCUAAAAAUACCCUGGGCAGAUGGGAAGUAUAUUCUAGCAAUAUUACAUUCCUUUGUGGGUCUCUGUAGCUGAAGCAACUCAAGUGAAUCCAAAGACUCAGAACUAAUCGACACAGCUGCUUAAGGGCUUAGAACCUGGGCUCAGGGACGUAUGAGAAGAGUAGACAGAUUAGAUACUUGUUCUGCCCCUCAGGAAUGGUCAGGGUGACCUUCAGGGGAUGGAUUCAUCUCCCUGAAGAGAUGACCCAUUCCCGGGAACUCAUCCUGGAGGCAGAGAAUGGGACACACUAUCAGAGAAUCUUUUCCUAGGUUUGCUUGGCUGCCAUGAAAAAUAGUUUUAGUACCUUAAUACUUACCUUCUUUUUCUCACUCUAGUUUUUGGCUUAGAAAUGAGAUAGCAAUUAUUGUUUGUAUUCAGGAAUAAUUAGGACUUUUUAUCAUGUAGAAAUCCUACUGCUCUAAAGUGGUGUGAAAAGAGGGGAUAUACAAUCUACAUGUGUAAUGGUUAAAGCUAAGUAAAAGUUAUGUGGAGAAAAAAGAUGGAAAAGAAAGCUCCAAGAAGUUAACACUAGCUGCUUCUGUGUGGUGGGAUGGUAGGUGAUUGUUCUUCUUCUUUUUUGUAUUUUCUAAAUGCCCUAAGAUGAGCAUGUAAUGCUUUUAUGAUAGAAAGAAAUGAAUGAUAAUGCAAAAUGUUUAUUUGUGCAUUACAAGGAUAAAUCUAAGGGUCAGGAAGAUGUGCAGAAUUGAAGAUAAUGGCAACAAAGAUUCACAUCAGGACCAUGGGCACCGGCUGGCAGAGGCAGCAGUGUGUGCAGCCUGGACCCAUGUAAGCAGGAGAUCAGAGGCUCCCAGUGAACAGUGGCACUAUUCACAUGGGGAGGUGACUGCAGGCCAAGGUGAACUGCUCGUACCCAUGGACUUCAGGCCUGGGCUCAGUUCUCCUGAAGUAUCCCUGGCUGCUAGCCUCAGAAAUCGUGUGUUCAGGAAAGUGCAAGAAGCUUCGUUUAGUUAAACUGCAGUAUGCAAAGUUGGGAGGGAUGAGAGAUGAGGCCAGGUGGGGAGGUUCAGAGAAUAGAGGGCCACUGGGACAUGCGCAGGAGGCUAGACUUGGCUGUGUCCCUGAUGCUUAAACUUGGGUGCCAAGUCUUUCUGGUGUGGCAGGGUGUGAAGCACAGUGUUAA